UGAGGGGAUGACCGCCCUUACGGAGUAGAUAAAACCCUUCUUUUCAAGCAGGGAAGGAAGCGAAAGGUGACGGUACCUGCAGAAAGAAAGUCGCCGGCUAACUAGUGUGCCAGCAGGCCGCGGUAAAUAGCGUAGGGCGCGAGCCGUUGUCCGGAAUUAUUGGGGCGUAAAGAGCUCGUAGGCGGCUUGUACACGUCGGUUGGUGAAAGCCCGGGGCUUAAACCCCGGGUCUGCAGUCGAUACGGGCAGGCUAGAGUUCGGUAGGGGAGAUCGGAAUUACCUGGUGUAGCGGUGAAAUGCGCAGAUAUCCAGGAGGAACACCGGUGGCGAAGGCGGAUCUCUGGGCCGAUACGGACGCUGAGGAGCGAAAGCGUGGGAAGCGAACAGGAUUAGAUACCCUGGUAGUCCACGCCGUAAACGGUGGGCACUAGGUGUGGGCAACAUUCCACGUUGUCCGUGCCGCAGCUAACGCAUUAAGUGCCCCCCUGGGAUACGCGCAGCAU
rnacentral:rRNA from 1 species